AUCCUUUGUCGUAAACACAGAGAUCUUGUUUGCAGGGAGGAUGUAUCACUAAACUGGAACAGUUCCUGGCAGAUCACCUCUUGAUAAUGGGAGCUGUCGGCGUAGGAGUAUCCUGUCUUCAGAUCUGUGGGAUGAUUUUGACCUGUUUUCUGCACAGAAGACUUAAAAUGGAAUCCUACUGAAGAACAAAAGGGGUCCUAUCAGUUUGCUUUCCUGUUAAUGCACAACAUAAACCUGGAAAGUAUUAGCAUGGGCCAGCAUCGGUAUUGCUUGCUCAUGAUUAUUAGGUGAUAUGUCUGUUUGCUCAGUUCCUACUUUCCUAGUGAUUUUGGUAUGCCUUAAAUUUGAUAUGCCUUAAAUUGAGAUUUAGCACAGUUAUAGCUUGCAGUUUGUUCAAAUCCAAAACCAAGUAAAGAAGCAAAUUAUGAUUUUUUUAAAAAAUUUUUGUACAAUUUCUAAAACAAUGUUUUACUGCACUGCUGCAGUCUGAUUUAUAGAGUAAUUCUUUUGUAGAGUCAUAGCCCUAAUGAUGCCAGUUACUUUCCUGUAGGAAGAGGCAGUAACAAAGUUAAACACUGCAUCCUGUGUGUAGUCAUAGUGAAUUUUUUUCAGGUUAAUAGACUUAUCUUCCUAACAGUAGUGUACAUUAACUUGAGCAAUCGAGUUAAUUUUAAAUGAAGGGAUCCAACAGAAUUUUUCACAUGUAAUAACAGAUUGUUAGACUUUCUGCUAUUCAGUAUUUUUUUUAAUUCUCUGUCUGUCUUCCUCUCCCUCCAGCUGAAGCUGCAGUCACAGCAUCCUGUGGGUUGAGAUGGAGGGAGGGCCAGAGGGCCAGUGUAGCUGCCAGAGCUACACUUGGAAAAGUCCAGCAGAGGGUGCUGUAUGAGUAGGUUGGAUGCAUUUCAGCUAGCUUUCAUCCAGAAACGUACUUAGUUUCAGUUUAGGGCCUGGAGGCAGAAUGUGAUUAGGAACAACAAAUAGGAGAAGAUGCCUUUUUGCUUUGCCUCUUGCUGCUGCUCCAUAGUCACCUGGCAUGCCUGAGCUAAGAUGUGUCACUUUGCCUUUUUAUUGUAGCCUAACAGGUUGUUUCAGAAAAUGAUAGUUAGAUCAAAGAAGGAGUUUUGUGUACAGCACAUAGAACCUGAAUCAGAGGAGAACAUUUUAUUUAAAGAAAAGACACCCACUUACUUUACAUCAAUCAACUGUUUUCUCUGAUCAGGAUUAUAUUAAAUCCUCUGAUCACAUUAUAUUACAUUUCUCUGAUCAGAUUAUAUUUAAUCCAUUUAGGUAUCAGGCUAGCUAAAGAGCUAUACCAAAGCUAAACAAGAACAUUAAAAUCUACAAAAAAAAAAGAAAGAAAAGACAAUAAACCCAAAUCUGAAGCUCUAUCCUUUUGCUGCAAGUGCCAAAUAACUCAGAAACCACUUUAGUGAAGACAACUUGGGUAGAUUAGAUAGCUAGAAUGGGUGGCUAGAUGGGAAAGAUGGAAGGGUAGGUGGGAAGAAUGAAUGGCCAGC